rnacentral:rRNA from 1 species
AACGAACGCUGGCGGCGCGUCUUAAGCAUGCAAGUCGAACGGCAAGAGAGGAGCUUGCUUCUCUCCUAGAGUGGCGGACUGGUGAGGAACGCGUGGGUAAUCUACCCUUAAGAUGGGGAUAGCCGCUAGAAAUAGCGGGUAAUACCGAAUAGACUUAUAGCUGAGAAAGAAGUGAUAAGGAAAGGAAGCUAAGGCUUCGCUUAAGGAUGAGCCUGCGUCCCAUUAGCUAGUUGGUAAGGUAACGGCCUACCAAGGCGACGAUGGGUAUCCGGCCUGAGAGGGUGAACGGACACAUUGGGACUGAGAUACGGCCCAAACUCCUACGGGAGGCAGCAGCUAAGAAUAUUCCGCAAUGGACGGAAGUCUGACGGAGCGACGCCGCGUGGAUGAAGAAGGCUGAAAAGUUGUAAAUUCUUUUGCUGACGAAGAAUAAAGAUAAGAGGGAAUGCUUAUCAGAUGACGGUUAGUCGGCGAUAAGCCCCG